AACGAACGCUGGCGGCAUGCCUAACACAUGCAAGUCGAACGAGACCUUCGGGCCUAGUGGCGCACGGGUGCGUAACGCGUGGGAACCUGCCCUUAGGUUCGGAAUAACUCCCCGAAAGGGGUGCUAAUACCGGCUAAUGUCUUCGGACCAAAGAUUUAUCGCCUUUGGAUGGGCCCGCGUUGGAUUAGCUAGUUGGUAGGGUAAAAGCCUACCAAGGCGACGAUCCAGAGCUGGUCUGAGAGGAUGAUCAGCCACACUGGGACUGAGACACGGCCCAGACUCCUACGGGAGGCAGCAGUGGGGAAUAUUGGACAAUGGGCGAAAGCCUGAUCCAGCAAUGCCGCGUGAGUGAUGAAGGCCUUAGGGUUGUAAAGCUCUUUUACCCGGGAUGAUAAUGACAGUACCGGGAGAAUAAGCUCCGGCUAACUCCGUG
rnacentral:rRNA from 1 species